GGUGGAGCCCACGCGCAGGGACACAACGGGGCCGUACCGCGCGACGAGGCGCCGGAGCAGGGCCUCCACGUCGGACGAGGAGCGCCUCAGCAGGAGCAGGUUGCCGAGGAACGGCAGGCCCGGUGGGCCCGGCGGGACGCGGGCGCCGCUCUUGCCCCCGCGGACCCCGCGCUGCCUCGCGAGCAGGAGGGCGGCGAGGGGCAGGAGGAGGAGGGCGGCGAGGAGGAGGAGCUGUGUGCCCAUGGCGAAGUCUUCUUGCUCUGCUUCCCAAGUUGGUCUACGCUGAUGUGUAGCUGGGGAGGAGGGUGCGUUGGUCCCUUUCCUUAUUUUUAGCAGGUGUCACAUCAAAUGUUUAGAUACUAAUUAGGAGUAUUAAACAUAGGCUACCCAUUACAUAACUGGAGGCUAAACGACGAGAUGAACCUAUUAAGCCUAAUUAAUCCAUCAUUAGCAAAUCUUUACUGUAGCAACAUAUUGUCAAAUCAUGGACUAAUUAGGCUUAAUAGAUUCGUCUCGCCGUUUAGCUUCCGCUUAUGUAAUGGAUUUUGUAAAUAGUCUACGUUUAAUACUCCUAAUUAGUAUUUAAACAUUCGAUGUGACGGUUGCUCGAACCAAUCCAGGGCCAUGUUUAGUUCACUCCAAAAUCCUAACUUUGGCACUAUGCAAAAAUAAGAUUCCCCAUCACAUCAAACUUGCAGUACAUGCAUGGAGUACUGAAUGUAGACGAAAUCAAAAACUAAUUGCACAGUUUUAUUGUAUUUUGCGAGACGAAUCUUUUGAGCCUAAUUAGUCAAUAUUUGGACAAUAAUUCAUAAAUAUAAACGAAACGUUACAGUGUUGCUACAGUAAUUUUGGUAUUUCAAAGUUGGGCAACUAAACAAUGCUAGGCCGAAAUGGAGCUUCAGUCUCUCUGCCUAUCGAGGUCAUGGCUGGCACGCAAUCUCUUUCCAUGUUUCCGUCAACUUGAAUGAUGAGUAGAGAAGACGCCAGCGGCAAUUUCUCUACACCAAAAAAAAAAAAUUCUGCACCAAAACAGGAUGCCUUUGUUUACUGUGAGAGUGUGAAGAGCGAGCGGCCCGAUGCAUAGGAAAGGAUAGGAUACGGAUCAGAUCAUGUGUAGCCACUGGUUAACGUCGUUGGGCGGAGCUGAAAGAGAUGCUGACAAAGCUGGGGUCUCCAAGCGAUCAUCAGAGUCAUGACCAGAAUUGAGCACGCCAAUCAAAUGAUCUCCUCGCAACCACCAGUGCUUGGGACCUACGUACAAAUGGUUCGCACAAGUAGUGCAAAAAUCUUGUUCGUUCCUGCUUGUUACGAACAGUGGCUGGCUAGAUUGUAAAAGAAAAAACAGCGAUGAUCAGCAUUUUCAUCUCAAACAGCAGCAGCGCCUAUGAGCAUGCAUACGGUUACUGUAAGCUCGCCGUUGUAUGUUACACUGAAACCAAUUCAACAACACACAAAUUGACUCAACAUUCAAGUUAUUACUUACCGUAAUUUGCACAAGACAACAGACAGUCGACCUCUAAAAUUUGCACUACAUCACCAAAGACCGCAUGCUAUGCACUGCACAAGGUUCGCACAACAAAAUGUUUUGAUUGGACUGAGCAGGAGAACAGAAGUCAUAAGCGACAUGUAUAAAGCUGCACUAUCACAAAUUUGUUAUAAAAGCAUACUAUAUAUGAUCUGAUCUCGGCAGCAACUUUUGCCUCCAUCUGAAAACGGUAAGGUGGCGUUUGGAUGUCAGGGGCUAAACUUUAGCCCUGUCACAUCACACGUUCAGAUGCUAAUUAGGAGGACUAAAUAUGAGCUAAUUAAAAAACUAAUAGCAGAACCCAUAGGCUAAAUCGCGAGACGAAUCUAUUAAGCCUAAUUAAUCCAUCAUUAGCGAAUGGUUACUAUAGCACCACAUUGUCAAAUCAUGGACUAAUUAGGCUUAAUAGAUUCGUCUCGCGAUUUAGCCUAGGGGUUGUGCAAUUAGUUUUGUAAUUAGACUAUGUUUAAUACUCCUAAUUAGUGUCCAAACAUCCGAUGUGACAGGGGCUAAAAUUUAGCCCCUCCCUACCAAACACCCCCUAAGAUGUAGCAUGUGAAGUCCAAUUUCACUAUCAAAAUCCAGAUUGUCUUGACAAUCAGGACUAAUGGUUUCUGGUUGUGCUUUGCACAACAAACACACGUUGAUUCAAAUGCAACUGAUCUUGAGUUGAAUUAUCCUACCCAUGAUCUUGAGUUAGCAGCAGUCGUUCAUGCUCUGAAAAUAUGGAGGCAUUAUCUUAUGGGAACUCGAUGCAACAUCUAUACAGAUCACAAGAGUCUUAAGUAUAUCUUCACUCAAGCAGACCUCAACAUGCGUCAGAGAAGAUGGUUAGAAUUAAUCAAAGAUUAUGACCUAGAAGUGCAUUCUCGCCCAGGCAAAGCCAACGUAGUUGCAGAUACCACUACUAGAUUUUAGGGCUAUUGCCAUGGCCAUCAUCCCAUGAACUCAAAUUUCGUUGCAACAGGGAGGGGGUAUUGCAACGAUUUUGAGUUUUCGUUGCAACCGGUAGGCGUUAUUGCCACCAUUUGAAAAUUCGUUGCAAUAGGUAGGCGAUAUUGCCACGUCUGUUUUUUGUUGCGAUAAUUAAUUGUUUUCGUUGCAAUAUCGACGGGUUAUUGCCACGAAAUACGCAAUGUUGCAAGGCUUUGAUAUUUUUGCAACGAAUUUGUCACAUUGCCACAUAGCCCAAGGCAACAACGGAAAAUCUAUUGCAAUAGGUGGGUGUUGUCGCAACGAGUGGAAGAUGGUUGCGAGUUGCUGAACAAAUUGCCACGGUUUUUUUGUGUUGUUAUAAAGUUUUGUUUUGCGUUGCAAUAUGUAAGGGUUAUUGCCACGAAAUACGUAAUGUUGCAAGUAGGAAGCAAUAUUGCAACGAAUUUGUUACGUUGCCACAUAGCUCAUGGCAACAACAAGUAAUUUGUUGCAAUAGAUUGGUGUUGCUGCCACGAGUUGAGAAAUGGUUGCGAGUUUUACUUAAUGGAAAAAUUAAAAGAUGCGCAAUGAGGGAAUCGAACCAGGGUCUCCGGAGUUUGGACUCGAGCACCUCACCACCACGCUACACAAUAGUUGGGGGAUGGAUAGGAGCUGAAGUAAAACAAACAAAUUUUAUGUUAGUUACAGAAAUAAAUUCUAUGAAAAUUUGUUGCAAUAGGUAGGUAAUGUUGCAAGGCUUUGACAGUUACUCUAGUAACCUCAUUCAAUCAGUAAUUUAAUACUGUAAAUGUAUUUGUCAGCUAGACAAACAGAUUGAUGAAACAUAACAUGACAGAUGGGGAUCAUAGCAAAGACAUUGAUCAAAAUGAGGCUUAUCAAGCAACGUUUUUCCACCAUGCACACAGGCAGUCCAAAAGAACAUGACAGAUGGGGAUCAUAGCACUAGAGGUUAUGUUACAGACGAAACUAAACACUUUGUGAACCAAGACCUACUUAAUGUCUACCUUCUUCUUGCCAAGCCUGUUAACUGCUGCAACUAAUGUUUUUACCUUCUCUUUAGUUAUGUCAAGCUUCUUGGCAAGGUCAUGGCGCUCCCGCACCACUUUGUUGUACUUUUUGUUGGAAUGAUUCGCGUACUUCUUGAAAGGAGAUUUUAACUCAUCAAAAUCAGUCUGCAAUACAUCAAACAGUUAAAUAAAAUCAGUCUACAAUACAUUCUGACAUUCAAUGUUCAGAUUAUUUUAAUGUUCAAUGACUAAUGUUUCAGGGGUUUAUGCAUGACCGACAAUCAGACAUAGAUACAUAAGUAAAAAUAUAGACAUUCCCCUGUUCACAUUCCUAUCAUGCUUUUUUGAAGAAACAGUCAUUCCUGUCAUGUUCAAUGACUAUCUUAACCAUAUUUGAAUUGUAGUACAAAUGAGGGAUACAUAGAUAAAAACAUAUAAGAAAGUAAGAACAUUACGAUUUCAUCGAUGCACUGCUCGCACAUGUGGUCAAUAUCAUCAUCCGUCUCUGUGUUGGACUUAGUUUCGUAGUCGGAGUCGGCAGUUAUCUUCACCUGAAAAGAUUUCCCCAGGGUAAACCCCCUCGAAACCGACCGCGUGGUAGGCCACCUGUUGACGCCGCUGUGUAAUUGUUGACGACGUGAGGAAGAAGCGUCGCCACGGCAGCCCCGACCUCUCGCGGUGCGGGCCUUCGACGGCGUCUCCAACUUUAUGAGCUUGUUGCCCCGGGCAAAACGACCCCUAGCAUCGCGAUGGUACUCCCUCAUUGACCCAGGCGGUGCGGAUGGGGAGCGGCGGGGACUUGGGAGGGGACCGGAUCUAGGGAGAGGUGUGCGGAUCUUGGCGGAGGAUGACUGGAGGAGGAUGGGGAGGAGGUUUGGGCUCGAUGAGAGGAGGCGGACUGGACGAGGACGGGAGGGGAGGCGUCGGAGGAAAAACCGGUUGGGUUGGGCUUUAGUUUUUUCACGGUGCUGGGCUUUGCUUAAUCUUAUUACCCUGGUCGUUGCAUUCGUGCCUAAUAUUUGGCGUCGCUACCCUUGUCGUUGCCCUAGGGUAAUUACAGGGCGGCAACGGCACCAGGGUCUGGUUGCAACGGUAGCAGGGCGGCGACGGCACCAGGGUCUGGUUGCGACGGCACCAGGUCUGGUUGCGGCGGCAGCAGGGCGGCGACGGCCGGACGUCGGACGACGUGGAGAUAAUUAUAUAUAGAUGGAGAAAGCAGGGACUUAUUAGCGUACUCAUAUGAGCAACUAACUGUAUAUGCAGGAUUUUAAUGUCGCAUAAUGUUGAUCGGAGUUGGAUGCGGCUGCCACAAGUAUCAGAUCAGUGGCAAAAAGGAUUGAAGAAAUUUAUGGAGACUAGAUUUGCAGGCACUUGUAAAGGAGAUACGGCACCAUGUCCAUGUACAAGAUGCCGUUCCAUGUCAUACAGAACAGUUGAGAAAAUUAGAAAUCAUUUGCUUUUUAGGGGAUUUUCUGAAUGUUUCAUCCAAGGGGAAGGAGAAGAAAAGGAUUCAUAUGCGAGCAUCACUGAAGGAGUUGGCACUGAUGGUGAAUCAGGGGAUGGUCCUUCUAUGAAUGAUUUGGUUUCCUCACUAAUCAGUGGUGCAAUACGUGGUGAAAUCAGAACUAAAGAGCCAAAUGAAAGCGCUAAGAAAUUCUUUAAGUUAUUAACUGAGGCACAGAAAGAACUAUAUCCAGGUUGCAAGGAGGCUACUAAGGUCUCAUUCAUUGUUAGGCUAUUUUAGAUUAAGUGCAUCUUUGGUCUCAGUAACAGUGCUCUGGAGGCUGUGCUUCAGCUAUUCUCGCUUGUGCUCCCUGAAGGUCAUUGUGUUCCAGAUAGUUUGGAUAAAGUGCAAAGGGUAGUUCGUGAUCUUGGGCUGGACUACGAAAAGAUACAUGCAUGUAUCAAUGAUUGUGUUUUAUUUAGAAAACAAUAUGCUGACUUGGAUAAAUGUCCAACAUGUGGAGAGAGUAGAUGGAAACCUGUGGUUCAAGUGAGAAGGAGGCAGCUAGUGGUGAUGCUGCACCUAAGAAGCGUGUUCCACAGAAAAUCCUAAGGUAUUUUCCAGUGACCCCUCGUCUGCAAAGGUUAUACAUGAAUGCGACCACAUCUGAAUAUAUGCGUUGGCAUAAGGAGGGACUUGUUCAGGAUGGAAAAAUGCGGCACCCUGCUAAUUCCAUGGCAUGGAAACAUGUGGAUGAAAUUUAUAAGGAAUUUGCUUUGGAUCCUCGUAAUGUUAGGAUGGGUCUUGCAUAUGAUGGUUUCAAUCCAUUUGGGAUGUUGAACGUGACAUACACUACAUGGCCUGUGAUCCUAAUCCCUUACAAUUUGCCUUCUUGGUUGUAUUUGAAAUAACCGUUCUGGAUGAUGUCAAUGUUGAUACCGGGGCCAAAAUGUUCAGGAAAUAACAUUCAUGUUUAUUUGCAGCCCCUUAUUGAUGAGCUUAAAGAUCUUUGGCUCAACGGUGUUCAGACAUGGGAUGCAAAGGUAAAGAAGAAUUUCACUCUGCGUGUUGUUCUACUUUGGACAAUUAAUGACUUCCUAGCAUACGGCAUGCUAUCUGGUUGGAGCACAAAAGGCAAGUUUGCAUGUCCAUACUGCCACAAGGAUACUGACUAUUUAUGGCUGAAAUUUGGUUCAAAGCAUUGCUACAUGGGUCAUCGCCGCUUUUUACCAAUGGAUCAUAGGUGGCGCCGCAACAAGAUUAGCUUUAACAACCAGGUGGAAAAGAGGGAGCCUCCAGUGCCACUAGAUGGGGAAGGUGUACUGAACCAGUAUGAAAGCUUUGAGCAAGUGAUAUUUGGGAACACGACUAAAAAGAGGAAGCAGCGUGAAGAGGACACUAGAUGGCACAAUUGGAGGAAGAAGAGUAUUUUUUUUGAACUGUCUUACUGGGAAAAGUUGCUUGUAAGGCAUAAUUUGGAUGUGAUGCACAUUGAAAAAAAUAUAUGUGAGAGCAUACUGGGGACCUUGCUUGACAUGGCAAGAAAAUCCAAGGAUAGCGAGAAGGCUCGUCUGGACAUGCAACAUUUGGGCAUGAGGAAGGAUCAACAUCCUUUGGUGAUGAAUGACAAAUACAUUUUGCCUCCAACGUUGUACAGUUUGGGUCAAGAUGACAAGGUAUAUCUAUGCAAAUUUCUGCAAGGUGUCAAGAUGUCUGAUGGUUACGCGUCUAAUAUCAAGAGAUGUGUGUAUGUGCCCAGGUGUAAGCCCUCUGGACUUAAAACUCAUGACUGUCAUGUUAUAUUUCAGAAACUAUUACCCAUUGUGGUUCGUCAAAUACUGCCACAAGAGGUUGUUAAACCACUGAUUGAGCUUAGUAGGUUCUUCAAUGCAAUAUGUUUUAAGGAGUUGAGCACCGAAGAGUUAGAAAAAUUGAACAUUUCGAUUAGAGAGACUCUUUGUCGUAUGGAGAUGAUCUUCCCACCAGCUUUUUUUGAUAUCAUGAUGCAUUUGCAAGUUCAUCUUGCUGAAGAGGCUAAACUAGGAGGACCUGUAUGCUAUAGAUGGAUGUAUCCAAUAGAGAGGUAUCUACGUACGUUGAAAGGCUAUGUGCGGAACAAAGCCUAUCCUGAAGGUUCAAUAGCAGAGGGAUAUAUACUAGAGGAGUGCAUGACGUUUUGCUCUCACUUUUUGGAUGACGUGGACACAAAGAUUAAUCGUCCAGAGCAUCAUGAAAGGGCAGCAGUGAAUGAACCACCAGCAGGUUUAAGCAUAUUCAGCAACAUUGAUUAUACUAAGAAAGGAUUUGCAAUUGAGCAACUUACUAGGCUAGAUAUGCAGCGGAUGAGGUACUGGAUAUUAACAAAUUGUGAUGAGGUUUUUCCAUGGGCCAAGUAAGUAGUAACUUUAAUUUACUUACAUUGGAGUAUGCACAUACAUGCAUAAGGAUUCACUCAGAAAACAGUGUGUCAGGAAUGUUGAACAACGUCAUAGAGAACAAUUUGUAGGCUGGUUCGAGCGUAAGGUGAAGUACAAUUUCCUCACAGGUUUUAUUGCUUGUAGUGCUCAUGUACUCAUACAUUGUUCUUUUAUACUUCUUGCAGAUGAACAUACUUUAUGCAGAAAGAAAAACAAGUGAUGCCAUGCAUGCACUUUCUCAGGGACCAGAGCAUCGGGCACGUGUUUUCAAUAGGUGCUUCAUCAAUGGAUUUCUGUUCAGAACUGCUCAUGUAGAGAAGAAUCUGACUACAUAAAAUUCUGGUGUUGUUGUGAAUGGUGAUCCUAGUACUGGCAACAUCGACUGGUAUGGUGUGGUCAAAAAAAUUUACGCACUAGAUUUUCCGACAUAAAAGGAAGUCAUCCUGUUUCAAUGUGAAUGGUACGAUGUGCCUGCUGCCAGUAGGAGCAAAGGUAGAGGAUUCAACAAGGAUCAGUAUGGUAUUAUAGAUAUCGAUACAACUCGAUUGUGAUAUUUAAAUGAACCUUACAUUUUUGGGACACAGGCUCAGCAAGUGUUUUAUGUGAAAGGUUCAAAGAAACAAGAUUGGAGCACUGUUAUUAGAAUGAACCCCAGAAAUGUGUUCUUCAUGCCCGAAUUAUACAACCCGAAAGAAAUUGAUGUUGAUUCAAUCGAUGUCGGAGUCGGAGAUAUGAUCGAAUCGGGCACACAUGAAGAUUUGACAAACUCGACUAGGACUGGCGUUGAAGGUGUCACCGGUGACGCAUCUGUAAUUGAAAAGGCUCUUGCUGAGUCUGUACCCGAACCAACAACUAUUGACUUAGCAAAUGAAGAUGAAGAAGAUGACACGGACGACUACAUCGAUGAUGGAUACAUUGCGCCUGUCAAUUCUACUGUGGACGGAGCGAAAGAUGUGUUUUUUGUUUAACUAUCAUAAUUUUUAGUUCUUUGCAAUUAACGGUGAAUCUGACAAUAUAAUAAACUGAAGAUUUGGGAUAUGGCGACCUACCCAUUCCCCGCUGGCCGGCAACCUACCCGUUGACCGGAAGGCGGCAUCGAAUCUCAAGUUCACCGGAAGGCGGCGCUUGAUCUCGGUGCGGUGGAAGAGCGGCGGCCGACGUAGGAGCUCGGGGCGGAGCGAUUUGGGGCCUUAUGUGGGAAGAACCAAUCGAGACAGGGGAACGAGGAAGAAUUUGUAAUGGGCCAGCCCACGUACAAAAUCUGUUGCGCCAGAGUUCAUGGCCACAACUUUUAGUACCACCUCGCUCACGAAGAAGCUCCUUGCCAUACUUAAAAAGGGAGGUGCACAAGCAGCAUCGAAAUCCUCCGACCUACCAUCUGAUAUGCCACCUGAUUAGCUACCUGACUGCUUGCUCUUCGUAGGCUCAGUUGGGCUCCCUCUGUGGUUGAGCCUUCUAUUAGGCUCCCUAUGAGGUUGAGCCUCAUCGGGCCCCCUUCGGUAGUGGUCCUUUUUUUUACCUUUCAUUUUUUUUACUACAUACAUUGUGCAUUUUUUUAGAUUAACGAACAUUGUAGAACCUACCAAAUUCCCAAUAAUUUUAGUUAAGACUUGUGAAACAUAUGAUUACAUGUCACUAUGUAUGAUUUCAUGCCACUGUCUCUGAGGUCUCUUCUUGUGUGUAGAUGCGCAUUUGGUUUUAAGCCGCUUGUGUAGAUGUGCCGUUUCAGCAGUACUUACAGGAGUAAGUGAGUACUACGUACGGAAUAGAAGUGUUUUACGUGAAAAUGGGCUGGGCGACGACUGAUGUGACUUGAUGUUGAUCGCCACAUUUACACUGCUGUGACAUGAUGUUGAUCGUCGCCUACUCAAGUGAGUGUUGGACAACCGAAACAAGAUAAAACUCCAUGUUUUUAGGUUAAUUUGCUAACUGGUAACAUUGGCAAAAACUCCAAGAACAAGAUAAAACUACUACUAACUGGUUCACAAUACCACUAUCGUUAAAACAUAAAAAGAACAACUUCGACAACCGAAACAAAAGACCAGUUCAUUACAUUGACAACAUUUACAUAUAAACUAGUUUUGGUGCGCUUUCCGCUCCUUAACUGCCGCCUCCUCCUCCCGUUCAUUCCUUGCAGCCACGCGCCGGCGGCGUUCCACCUCCAUCGCCACCCGUUGCUCCUCCCUUUGAGCGGCCUGCUCCGCUUCUGCGGCGGAGAUCUCCAGUGUGCGCCUGAGCAUGCAGUCCUCAGUCUCCUUUUGUGUGAUGGCACGCAGGCGCCAGUCCUCCUCCUCCUGGCGUGCCGUCUCAAAGGAGUGGACGACAGCAACGUCCUCCGGACAUGGCCCCUGCUAAGCCAUCACCAAAUCCUCCUCUUCUGAAUUGGUCUCCCGAUCCGGAUCCUCCUCGAGGUUGACGUCGAGGUCUGAUGAGUCGAACGACGGCAGGGGAGGCGGCGGCGUCGGCGAGCGAGGUGGGGAGGAGCGUUCCGAAUCAUCGGACGACGGCGGGGGAGGACGCGUCAUCGGGGAGCGAGGAGCGGAGGAGGAAGGGCUGAGCAUUGCUCAAGUAGUCUUCAAGCGGCGAGGCAUGGCGAGGGCUUGUUGCGGGAGGGUGCAGUGUGUAGAGGGCUUGUUGCGCGCGGGUGGAAGGGCCCUUAUAUAUGCGUGCGUGCAUGAGAGAUAGAGCAUUAACGCAACCGCGCACGUCGGGAGAGGAGACGCCUCUUGACUGGGGAACUGAAGGGACACAGAGCAGCCGAAGGACCGGUUAAAGGGUGGCUGGACGGCGCGAAACGUCGCGAGGCAGGGCAUCAACUGCUGUGUUAAUUGGGGUAUGCAUGGGGAACCUGCACGCGCGACGUAAUCCUGGCACGGGCGCAGUACCGCAGAGCCGCUGGCACAUGUGGCGCAAUGGCACAGUGCCAACAACUCCUUGGAGCUAAUGGCACGCUUUAAUUCUGGACUCACCGUGUGUCGCCCGCUUCGCAUGCCGCGCCGUUCCUCAUUCAUUUCUCACCGUGUGUCGCAGGUCGAGCUCGCCCGCUCCCUCUCUCUCUCUCUCUCUCAAGAAGGAUGGGACGCAUGAUUAAUGAGUCAAUCAGAUCCGAUCGACCGACUCUUAUUUGCACGGUGCCGGAUUUCAAGCUUGCUUUUGCAGUGUUGACAGACACGCAGAACCCGUGUAUUACCUCACAAAAUUGGGAUGCACGGCUAGUUAAAAAUAUACGAUUGCAAAGUUAGCUUCUAAACAUGGCCCCACGACUCCAACUCAAGCCUGCGCGCCACCCUCGCUGCCGCUGUGGUGCAAGCGCGGCGAGGACACCGCGACGGUCUACUACACAUCAAGCCCAGCCCACCACUCAGUUGGGCUGAUGUCGUGAGACAAGACAGGCUGAGUGGAUGUCGCCUCUUAUAAUCCGUAGCACUUUAAGCUUUCGUUAGGAGACAAGACAAGGGCUACACGCCUGCUUCGACUAGGAGGGGCUGCACGAUAGCCACAUACGGAGUACGUAAGCAACAUGAAAAUGAAAUUGUGUUUGAAACUACCUAUACAAUGCAAAAUUUCAUGGUGUAGUUUCAUAUGCAUUAGUACAUGCAAGCUAAGACACAAACUGUGUUGGUAACUGUGCAUACAUAGUUUCAUCUAGAUGAAAAUUUCAUGGUGUAGUUUCAUAUGCAUUAGUGUAUCCCUUGUUCUCGACCUUAAGUGCUUAUGCUUGUUUUUCUACUAGAAGAUAAUUCCAUCUUGGAGAGUCAAGUAUCUCAAGUUUGACCAAAUUGUAAGUCAUUCUAAGAAUCUUGGAGAGUCAAGUAUCUCUACUUUGACCAAAUUAUAAGUCAUUCCAAGAACCUUGGAGUUUCAAAGUACCAAAUUGUAAGUCAUUCCAAGAAUAUUGGAGAGUCAAGUAUCUCAACUUUAUGGUGUCAACUUAGUUUCAUUAGAUUGUUCGUCUCUAUUCCACGCUAAUUGAUAUAUACUUUCCAAUGCAAUCUUAAUGCUUUCUCUCUCACUAAGGGAUAUGCCUUAUGUUUAUUGGCUUCACAGGCAUUGGCUUUACCGGUGAAGCCGUUUUAUUUGGAUGAGCCAUGCCAAAGGGGAGCUUAUUGUGUGCCACGUGAAUAUAUACAUGUGCAGAUGAAGCAAUGUGCAUAGUGAUUUCAAUAUUGAACACAUUGCUCAAAUGUUCCAAUUAAACACGCAAGAAACAUAACGUGUCGAUAUAUACCAAAAUACCUCCUCCUCCUCCCCAGCCAAAUUUUUCCCGCUUGCCCUGCCCAAAUUUCCCCCUAGCCCGCCGAAAUAACCCUUCCAUAUAUUUUUACCAAUCCCCAUCUACUAAAAUUCCGGCGCCAUUAAUCACGUUUCCUUGACGUUCGUGGGGCAGAGGGGGGUGACGCGACCCGACGACUCUCGGUUCCUUGUCGAGAUGGCGACUGAAGAUGAUGACAGGAGGCCGAGUCCGCCCCACACCGUCGGCGACCAACACAUGGCGACUGGAUUCGACGGCAGGAGGCCGACUCCGCCCCACACCGCCGGCGACCGAGAGAUGGCGACUGAAGACGAUGGUCCUGAUGAGUUUUUGUUUGAACCUCCCCGAACCAGGUAUGUUUUCUUAGACUAUUGCAAAUCCAAUCGAAAAUUCGCAUAGGGUUAUAGUCCUAUGUGAUAUUGGAUGAUAUGGAUACAUGCCUAGGGUUAUAUUCCUAUCUCAAAUUGGAAGAUCUCGAUACAUGCCUAGUUUCUACUACUAGGGUUAUAUAUAGUCCUCUAUUGAAUUUAUAGAUUAAUAUUCUUGUGUAAGAGUAAGGACAUUACCUUGGUCAUUGAAUGAUUGCAUAUGAGUUUGAUUGCAGACUCACUGGUGAGAGGUGGAGUGUAAUUAUCGAUUGCGUCGGGGCACCUUCGGGUCAUGAAACUGCCCAGUUCACCUGUGAUAGGGCUAAUAUCACAUUUUUUAACUUGGUUUGUUUGAAGUCAAAGCUCGGCUACUGUGGACGUGCCUUCUUGUAUUAUAAGGAGCGAUGUGGCAGGAACACAGCAUCCCUCAUCCCUCUUGAUUAUGACCACCAAAUCCCAGCCAUGUUACAAAGCAAUUCAAAAGACAGGAAAAUCAGGAUCCUCCUAACAAGGGAUCAACAGACUAACUUGCAGGUAACCAUAACUCCCUUGAACUGAUGAAGGCAAACAACUACAGAAGGACGAAGGACAGGAGAACAAAUAGAUGCUUACAAGAUAUGGCUUCAAAACCUGCAGCAGGAUGAACCGGACACAGGUAGGUACAAUUCCUCCAGUCACAAUUUAUAUAAGCUAUGUGUUGUAUUAUUCAUUGCACUUACAUAUUCGUUAUGUGCAGAAUUUAAAGAUGAUUACAGGGAUGAAACCAUCGAGACAUAUAAAGAAUGGUUAAAGCGUAAAGAGUAUCUUCAAGACAUUAGUAAUUUCUAUUCAUUCAUUCAGCAAUCAAAGUUAAUAUUACUUGUGAACAAAAAAUGUAUAGACUGAUGUGGAUCAAUUGUAUGAUAUGUAGUAUCUUAUUUAGAUCAAGAUGACAAUGACAAAGUUGAAAACCUUCCCGAUGAUGAAGGUCUUGAAGCCGUGCAAUCACCACCAUCAGAUAGACCAACUCAUGCUCGGCGUGACAAAAAAGCGAUAAAAGGAGGACGUGGUGCCCUUAAGGGUUUAUCAGCAGCCAUAAAGAGGAUAAGGAGCGGCUCACAGAAACUAAAAAUUGAAUUUUCCACAAAGCUGGGAGGUCUCGUAGGCCCUAACGUCCGGUCAUUUGUGGAUGAAAUUGUAAUGUUUACAAGGAAAAGGGCUCCUCUUAUUGAAGUCAACAAAUGGAAAGACAUACAUGAAAAUGUGAAAAAUUCUAUAGCAUCCGACAUACUGGUACGUACGAUGUUUAAUUCUGUUACAUGAUUGCUAUAAUAAUCCUCAAAUAGCCAAAUAAUUCUCCGUCUGAAUGUGUUAUCACAUAAACAGAAUAGGUGGGAGCUUGUAGACGUUGAUGAUGAAAAGGAAAAGAUUUGGACCAUCGCGAUGGCGCGAUACAAAGGAUGGAGAUCAUCACUUAGUGCCACGUACAAGGCAUACGAUAGUUACGCAGCACGAAUGAAACACAAGCCAGAAGACCUUGACAUUGCAGAAUGGCACUACCUUAUCUUGCAUUUUGGAUCUCCAGAUUUCAAGGUCUCAUAGCAUUUCCUUUUCGUCAUUCCAUAUAUCCCAUGUAUUUAUUACUAGUUCGAUCAAUGCACUACUGAUGUACUUUUUUACUUACACCCUGUAUAGAAAGCUAGCAACCAGAACUCCAAGAAUCGUAAAGAAGCAAAGAAGAACCAUGUCAUGGGGUCCAGAUCAUUUUCCAACAUGAGCCAUGAGCAGGUAAUGCUUAGACUUGCUGUAUGGUAUGGUCUUUUUGCAGACAUGUCAAGCUAAUGUGCUUCAUUCAUGCCAUCUUUAGAGAGACCCGGAUAUGGGAGAAGAACCAAGUGAUUUAAAUCUUUGGUUUAGUACUCAUAUGAAGAAUGGGCAAUGGUCAGAUGAAGCAUCUAAGGCUGUGUAUGUAAGUAAUCUACAUAGUUCACUAUUAACAACAUUAUUCUUAUUAUUUUUAAUGUCCAAUACUGACACCAAUGCUGCUGUUUAAAUUAGGACAAUGCAUGCCUAAGGCUUUCCGAGAGAGAUCGCAAUGAUGAUACAAAUCCCAUCUCCACUGCAGAGGAAAACAAUGUUUUCCAAAUAUGCUACAAGCAAAGUACAGGAUGCAAAACCCACAGAACCCAUGGUCAUGGUUACUUGUCUAAAACUCCAUCACGCAGUGAAUUGCUGAAAGCUCAAAUCCAAGAGCAAGCCCGUGCUACAGAAGUGGCCAACCAGAAAAAUAAUACGCUCCAACAAAAGGUUGACAAGUUAGAAGAACAACUUGCAAAUGAAAAGGCUGAAAGGGAAAGGAUAUUGGAAGAAAAAUUGCUACAGAUUCAAGAAGAGGAAAAUAACAAAAGGCAAGCACUUAGGGAAGAUAUCAUGAAAGAGAUGCUAUCGAAGUUUGCUGAACAGAGAGAAACCCCAUUACUACAGGUAAAGGCAAUUUGGAUAUUUGUUACACAAAUUAGCAUAUUGGAAUGUGUUUUGUCCCUAAAUUACUUCCACCUAUUUUUCCUAUGCAGACUGACCCAAGGAGCAUCAUCCCAAGUGAUGCUACGCCAACAGUUGAGAAAAAUGCUAGCAAACAUAGAACUAGUACAGUGUCUCGAGGUCUUUUUCAAAAUAGCAAAAGCAACAAUGUUGCAGGAGCAUAUAUUAGUACACGGCAACUACUGAAUGCUGCUACAAAACAUGUGCGCACAAGAAGCCAACAGGCAUGCAGAAGUAAACCUGAUUUAUAAUCUAUGUUUAAGUGCAUCAGUAAACUUAGAGCAGUCUCCUGUGUGCGAAUAAUAUGCUCUGUGUCAGACCACGUGUCCACAAGCACAAGAUAAAUUACCAAGAUCAUGUUUGUUAGUACAUAUACUACUGCACUAUGAGACCCUUUUGCUGAUGCACUGCAUUCUUUUUUUUGGAUAGAAACAUUCUUCUUCAAUGGAUCGCAUGGGCUCAGAGUCAUGACAUGGUUCACUCAAGGAAAAUCAAUGUAUUGCAUGAUUCCUGUAGCCUACAUUACAAGGAUUUAGUAUUAUUGAUAUACCAACACUAGUUAUGAACUAUUUUCAAUUUGGAAUAUGUAUUUGGCACUUUGACUUUAUGAAUGUCAAGAUGGCUUGGUUUUAUAUUCAUGAUGAUGCAAUUUAUUUUUUGGUUAAACCAUUUCGUUGCACAAACGAUUCGAUAUACAAAUAUAUAAAUCCAAUCCGAUGCGAAAAACAUCUUCCAGUUGCGAAAAGAAAUACAUCCACCUAUUGCAAAAACAAAUAAUUGCAGCAACCCCAGUUCGUUGCAACAUCUUUUAUUGCAUCUAUAUACUUUCAAUUGCACAACAACUUAUUGCCACGGAAGAUAAAAGUUGCAAAAAUACAUAAAAACCUUCACCGCUAAUUAGUUGCAACAUAUCAUCUUGCUUCUAAAUAUUGUCCGUUGCAACAUGAGUUAUUGCCACCACAUAUGUUUCCAUGGCAAUAUAGUUUAUUUUGACGAAACCAAUUGUGUUGCCAUAUGAUCUGUCACAACGUAAUAUUUUCCAUUGCAAACCAAAUUAUCGCCACCAAACAUGUUUCCGUGGCAAUAUAAGUUAUUGCCACGAAAGCAUUUGUGUUGCCAUACAAAAAGUCCCCACGUAAUCGUUUCCGUUGCAAAACUAAUUAUUGCCAUCGAAAAUGGUUUUUGCAAUAUAGUGUAUUUCCACGAAAGAAAUUUAGUUGUCAUAGGAUAUGUCACUACGUCAAAUUUCCGUGGCAAUAUAUUCUCUUACCACCAUGUAAAUCGUUGCGAAAAACCAUAUUACCACAGAGUUUGUACGUUGCAACUACGUACUAUAGCAAUGACUGCUUGCGUUGCAAUACAUGCUAAUGCAACGAAAUCCUCCAUUGCCAUACUCUAUAAUGCAAUGAAAAUGUGUGUGGCAAUUACCAUAAGUUGCUACGGCCCACAAAAAACGUUGCAAAGAGCUAUUGCCACGCCAGUACUUGCCACGCCUGCUAACCAACCAGUCGCCGUUGCAAUUGCUAGAUAUUGCAUCGAUUUUGGCAUAUUGCAACAUUUUUCCGCCGUUGCAUUAGACCAUAAAUCUAGUAGUGUGCUCUCAGCCGCAAGAUCCAUUAUAACUGCUUAUCGACGAUUAAUUAUGCCGAGACCUUGUGUCAUGAAAUGGCUAAACCUAACUUGGAAAUUAUUCCUCACGACACCUUAAGUCAUAUUUCUCUGGAGCCUACCCUGCUUGACCAAAUAGUUUUAGCACAAUUGGAGGAUGAAGAGAUAAACCUUACCAAGGAGAAACUCGCACAGGAGGAUGAAGGAUAUAAGCAUUUCCGACAGGAUUGGAAAGGAGUGGUACAUUAUGAAGCUCGACUCGUUGUUCCAAAUGAUCCCGAUCUUAAGAAACAAAUCCUGGAUGAAGCACACCUUUCCAAGUUUUCGAUUCACCCUGGUAGUACCAAGAUGUACCACGACCUCCGACAAAAUUUCUGGUCGAGUGGGAUGAAACCCGACAUUGCACGAUAUGUUUCAGAGUGUGAUACCUGUCAGCGAGUCAAAGCAAGCCACUUAAGGGUAGCUGGCCCCUUGCAGCCGCUGCCUAUUCCCUCGUGGAAGUGGGAGGACAUAAGUAUGGACUUUAUAAUCGGACUACCCAAUACCUCGCGCAAGCAUGAUUCCAUAUGGGUUAUAGUAAACCGACUUACCAAAACAGCGCAUUUCCUUCCAGUACACACCACCCACACCAUACAGAAAUACGCAGAACUAUACCUAGACUGGAUUGUUUCCUUGCAUGGUGUACCUAAAACGAUCAUCUCUGAUCGAGGUAGUCAGUUUGUAGCACGCUUUUGGGAGCAGUUGCAGCUUUCACUUGGCACUAAGUUGAUUCGUAGUUCCACAUAUCAUCCUCAAACCGAUAGACAAAUUGAAAGGGUUAACCAGAUUUUGGAGGAUAUGCUACGUUCCUGUGCCAUUCAUUAUGACAAGAAUUGGGAUAAGUGUUUGCCAUUAGCGGAAUUCUCAUACAACAAUAGUUACCAAGCCAGCCUGAAAAUGGCACCUUUUGAAGCCUUGUAUGGACGUAGAUGCCGAACCCCGCUAAGCUGGUCGCAACCCGGAGAGCAAACAGUGUAUGGACCUGACCUGGUCAUGGAGGCCGAAGAAAAAGUGAGAGUUAUCCGCGAAAAUCUCAAGGCCGCUCAGUCUCGACAAAAGAACUAUUCCGAUCAAAGAAGAAGACCUAUCCAAUUUGAGGUUGGGGAUUUUGUAUACCUGCGGGUUUCACCGACCAAAGGCAUACAAUGUUUUGGAGUAAAAGGAAAGUUGGCUCCGCGCUAUAUUGGUCCCUAUGAGAUUGUAGAAAUUUGUGGACCCGUAGCGUAUCGAGUUAAACUUUCAGAGAAGAUUGCAGCGAUACACGAUGUUUUCCAUGUCUCACAACUCAAGAAGUGCAUUCGGGUUCCAACUGAAAUCAUUGCCCCGGAAGAAUUGGAGAUCGAACCCGAUUUAUCAUACAAGGAGUAUCCUGUUAAGAUCCUCGACCGGAAAGAAAGACAUACUCGUAGGCAAAUGGUAAAAAUGUACAAAAUUGAGUGGAGCAACCAUACAGAAUACGAAGCGAUGUGGGAGACGGAAGAGUAUCUCAACACUAACUUCCGCGAUUUUCUUUUCGACCAGGGAGGUACGUUGCACCAGCCACACUAGUUCCUUUCUGCACUUGAAUCUUGGGGUGAGAUUCCUUUAAGGGGGUAGGCUAUAACAACACUACCUAAAGUAAGUGCUUUUAAAUAUAAACCAGUGGUUAAUCACUAAGUAAAGAGGUGAAAUGACCAUUUUAACCCUAAGAAGCUCUUUUUGGAGUUUAAAAUAAAACUUGAGAUUUUAUAUGCAAACUUAGAAUUCUACCCAAAUAAGAGUUGUAAACCUUUUAAUUUCAAAUAACAUUUGUUAAAGGCACUUUGACUAAUUUAGAGUGGGAGGAAGUCAAAAACAGGAAUCAAAACCGGAGUACUAAAGAACCAUAUAAACCUCCUAAGUCCUGGAAUUCAAGUUUUCCUCCAACUUUGCAACCUGUUAUCUCACGAUUUCAUAUUUAAACUCAAGUCGGACCCUUAAUAAAACUUUUAGUCCCUCGAGUGUAUUCCAACUUUGUUACACUAACCCAGGUCCAAAUCGAAUCAGAACCUGUUCAAAACCUUGGUCAAAGUUGGGUAAAAUGGUCAACUCAACCCCUGAGCACCACAACGCUAAGUCUGGAAAACUGCUCAGAGUGCACCUCUUGGCGAGGGCGUUCCUCCAAAUUUCUGAACUAAACUCAAUAAAUACCCUAAAUAGAAGUUGAAGUGCUCAGUUUGGAGAGCAACUCCUUCAAUAACGCUUAAGUCUAAUUCAACUCAUAAGCUACCCAAAAAUCGAGUCAAAGAUAGCUAAACCUCUGAAAUUCCACCUCUCCGGCCGAUUUGGCUAAGUCUGGAUUCCCAGAUUUUUGGCAAACUUUGGCACGAGAUAUCUCCAAAUCCUUUCACAAUAUAAACAAGCACCUUAAACCAAGUUUGAACUAUGUCCAGAGUUGAACAAGUUUGCUUAAAAGAGUUUUGAAACUUUAGUUGCAAAACCUUGAGUAAGGAGCUCUCCAAGCUGGUCGGGCUUACUGCCCGAAGGAGCCUCGACGCCCGCGCGCCGGGCCAUGUUCAUCCGCGUGCCGCGCGCCGCGUGGCCGCCAGCCACCGGCAGCUCGCCGGCACCCUAUCAUCGGUGAGACAGCGACAAGGCGAGAGCCACGGCGCCCAACCUGCGCCUACGACAGGACGGGACGAACGCCGGGCUGGCCAACCACCGGCCGCGCGCGUGCCUUUCCCCCUGCCACGUAUCUGCUCCGCCCAACCACACUUCGCCCGCCCGCCGGAGAAGCCGCCACACCGACGAUGUCCCGCGCCUCCGCCCGCUCGCCCAACCCCCGCGGUGGCCCUCCGCUUCGCCCGCCCGACAAACCGGAGGCCCUCACACACGCAUCGCCCAAGGCCAAUCGUGGCAAGAGAACGCCCGGAGCUCCGCCUCCCUUGCCCAAUGGCGCCGCUGGCCAAUGGCCGCCUCGCCCGCGCACCCGCCGCUCCCCGGCCUUAUCCUCCCUCCACUGGAGCCCCGCCUCGACCCUCCGCUCCACCGCUGCCCUAUAAAAGGGUCACACUCGCCGUCAACGCCACCCUUUGCCACCGCCAGCAACCGCGCCUCUGCUUCCUCCUCUGCAUCGCCGCUAGGCUCCCGUGGAGCUCACACCUCCGCGCCACCCCGCACUCCGACGACCUCUCCGCCCACUUCACCACCCCUCCGCGCACGUCUCCGAGCAGCCCGUGGCCUCCCCAACGCCGCCGGUGUGUCGGAACGCCGCCUGCACCGCCGCCAGCCAAGCUCUGCCGCCGCCGCCGCGUUUCAACCCCCUGCCGGCCAUCUCCGUCGCUCCAACCCCGCCAAACCGAGCUCAGGUGAGCCCCUGCGCCACUCCAGCCACUUGUUGCCCCUUCCCCGCCGGCGAACCGCCGAGGAUUUCCUCGCCGCCACCGCGCGCGCCCCGGGGAUGACAUUGCGUCUUCCCCAUUCUUUCCAGGGGCCUGGGCGCAAAACUCAGGGACCUCUGCGUAGUUAACCCGUAGACUCAAGGGCUAGCUUGUAAGUUUACCACGCCUUUUUCUUUUAAUAAUAGGUAGAAAUAUAGUUGAACUUUGUAAAUGCCCAGUAAAUCGUAGAAAAAUCAUAAAAAUGCCAAACCACUUUUCUUGGAAUCCUUGCUCUGUCUAGUUCCUAAGAAAAAUAAGUUUGCUCAUGUUAAUGUUGUAAAUAAUAUCCUAUGAUUUUAAUCAUGGUUUAGGCCUUUUAAAUCCUAAUAAAUAGAAGAAAAGUGGGAAAAAUGUAAAACCAACUCUGUGAUGCUUGUUUCUAUGGUUUAGGGCUCUAGUCUAGCACUUUAAGUCACUGAUUUAACUUUAAUUUGGGAAUCUAAGAUUAAAUCUUCCUUUUUGCAUAAGUUUUGAUCCGGAGCUCAGAAAAAUGUGAAACUAGUUGGGUUAAUUUUGUUUUGAUGUGUAGCUUGCAGGAAAAAUAUAAGUUGUUGUGCAAAUCAGAAAGAAAAACACCUUCCUUGUUAAGCAUGUUUAAUUAAAAGGAAAAUAGAGUAAAUAGUUAUCCUUCUCCAAAAAUUAUGAAAAAUUCACCAAAGCUCCUGUAACAUACCCUUAACAUACUGGUUAAAUUUCACCCUCUUUUGCACUGUAACUUUGAAGAUAGAAAAAGUUAAGCUCAUAUUACCUUUAAUAAUAAAAUGCAUGUAAUUCCUUUUUGAGUCAUCCAAUGGCCCCCAAAAUUUUACAGUAACCUAGUGAUGGCUUAAGUGAGGUGCUGUAAUUUUAUCAGUACCUUUAGCUAUUGUUUGGCUAUGAAGUCAUUUUGGUUAAUUAAUCAAACUAAAGGAAUAAAAGAAAAGCACAAAUCCUAAUACGAUAAAUAAGUGGAAAUUGAAAGAGGUACAUAAAAACAUUCAGAAGUAAGUAACUCUCCUAAUGCACUUCAACCACCCAAACACGACCUUUGACUCUCUUUAUGCAACUCUAAGUUGCAAGAAACUAUAUAUGUACACAAUCGCCAUCCAACUCGAACUCAAGUUUAAACCGACCACAUUCGUUUGAAGUUAAAAGAAAGUUAAACCUCGUCAAAGUGAAUGUGGCUGUUGCAACUCCUUGUCUUUAAGCCAUACCUUGUGUCAUUGAAUAAACGCGCGAGUCCAACUAAACUCUUACAUGUGCAUGUCGUAUAGAAGCAAAUCUCACCGACGGAACCUACGAGCUCUACCCGGCACCGGAGGAAGACCCCGUUGCGGAGCUUCACAACUUGGAAGGUGAGCUCGAACUGGAUCAAGACCCUGAGGACCCGCUAACUUUUCCUGAAGGCAAGCCCUGGUGCAUGAUUUCCCUGUUUUACUUUAUGCAAAUUGUUGAUGCUUAUGAUUGUGCAUUAACGUUGAUAGGAGUUGAUUGAAACCGUAGAUGCAUGAACUUAGUACCAUAUUUGAAUACUAGUUGCUAAGGUCGAGUAGUUGCAAUGCUUAAUAGGUUCCGGUAAAAGAAGAGUGAUUUCCUGUCACUCGCGAGUUAUAGGAGUUGAAUGUUUAUUUAUGUUGCAACUAUAAGGAUGACGGACGGGGUCAGGGUCUGUCUAAAGGAAAUUGAUCUAAGGUCGAAAUGUGUCGGCGUUCGUGAUCAAGUGUUUGAAAGUACUAAUCUCAUACCUAGUAUGGGAUGGGGAAGCCUAGUACCUGAUUGAACUGGGGCGUGGCAUACUCCCCCGGCUGUCCUUGGAACGUCGUUCCCAUGGUGCAUCAUGUGGGUGCAAGUGCGGUCAUAGUACGGCAGAGGCCGGGAUUAUGAAGCAUCGCAUGCCAAAGGCAGUUGGCCCUGACACGUGUCUAAGGGAUCCAUGGGGACGGCUGACAAAUGAAGCGACCCCUCGUGGUGCGCGGAUGUCAUGAGAUUAGGUUCGUCUUGCAUGGUUAAUAAAUUUGAAUCGAUUCGUCUGCCUCUCACAGUUUGGGACUACUUGAUCGCUAUUCUGCACUGAGUAACGAUGAAACAUGAUUACAAGAUUAAGUUGAUGCUUGUUCUUUAACUGCUUGGAAACUAUGCUUGCUUAGUAUAAGUUGCUAAUCUAGACUGGUUAAAAAACGUAGAACUUGAGCUAAAAUAUUGAAAGUAAGGACCGAUUGUAGACGCUUUUGGCAAAGCAAUCCCAGAGCCAGAAAAGCCUUGCAUGUCUAGGUCUUGGUAAAACAAUUUACCUGACGGGUCCGUCUUGCUGAGUAUUAGUUGCUCAGCCUUGUUGUGGCUUAAUCUUUUCAGGUGAUGUUAAUAGUUGGCUACUGGCACCACUUGGCCUACCCAGCUCCCUCCGGGCUGGACAGUCGAGUGGGAUCCCUCCUCGGACGGCGAGGGUAGAGAUUUUUGAUGUCAUGAUCGGCUUCGUCGUGAUAUCAUGUAUCGACGUUUAGCUUCCGCUUGUUUUAUCUGACUUUUCGAACCUUGCAACUUGUUUGAAUUUUAGAAACUCUGAUGUAAUAAAUUGUGGAACUAAGUUAAUGUGAUGGGAAUGUUGUAAUCUCUGUGCUACUCACCUUCGUGUGAGCGAUGCUUCUCGAUCCUGUGUAUGUGGUUCAUCGGAUGAAAUCCGAUGGUCAACCAGGUUGACUUGCUUAAAGUGCAUAAUCGCGUGUCAGGCGACUUAAAUGCAUUUUAGUUAGGUUAAUUUGGGCAGUUCCGCCACAAAUACCCAAGUGCAGGGCGCAAUAUACAACACCCCAAAUAGGACGUAGAGUAUUAUGCUACUCCAGCGGCCCACACCUAUAUAAAUCCGUGUCUUGUAUCCUUACGUUUACUUUGCGAUGGAAGAUGCGCGAGUUCGCAUCUCCUGCCUUGAGAUUUGUUAUGCGUGAUGCUUGUUUCCUUCUCAUUCUUUCAAUUGCAGCUAGCCCUAGCACCCUCUUUUUGAGUUGUGCUCGUAGUUGUUGCUCGCCUUGGGUGAGUGUUCGGUGCUCUUGCGCAAUGUCCAGACACAAGAUGACCUCCAUUACCAUAUAUAGUUGCUGUCUUGCGUUGGAUAUGAGACCAUUGCUCCAUGCUCGCAGCUCCCGUGAGGUGCGAAGGAUUUUAUGGUACACUAUGUGGAAAGGCUCGUGAUGUUCCGUUGGCACGUUCCAUGUGUUCGUGACAAUUUCCUUGAAUCUCAGUAUUUUUGCCCAAAAAGUUUCGAAUUUGAACGAUUGUGGCUUCCUUGGCCCCGUGCGAUUUGAUAGUAACAACGGGCAGUGGUCGAAAUGUUACGGGAUAGCGCCUGUAGUGUGUGUGACCUGAAGCUUAUGUCCCAGUCGGGGUUGCAAAAAAAUCUGUCUAGCUUUACCAUAGCUGGUUGCAAUUGUUCGUUGCUCCAUGUGAAUUUCCGAUUUUGUAGAGGAAUUCCAUGAGGUCACACCAAUCGAGCGUGUCCCUGAAGUCGCUCAUAAGGCGUCAGUUGAGGUUGUUGUUGUUUUUAUCCAAGGCUUUGUAGAUUAGGUUGAAAUCUCCCACAACUAGCCAUUUGGUUGGUUCAACAGGUUUUUUUGUCCGAAGUUCGCUGAGGAACCAUUGUUGUUCAUUUUGACGUGAAGGACCAUAGACUACCAUGAGUUUAAAACUCUGUAGGCAUUCUCUAACUAGGACAUCUGCCAUUAUGCUGAAUUCACCUAUUGCGAUGCUGGAAAUCUCAAUAUAGUCUUCGUUCCAAAGGAGGAGGAUGCCACCUCUUGUUCGUGAAGGACUCCUAGCCGGUUUAUAUGCAUGUUUGCGCAUACGAUAGCCGCCUAGAUACGCAGCUGUGAACGGAUCGAUGUUGGCCAAUUUAGUUUUCUGUAGGCAGGCUAAGUGGCAAAAAGUGGAGGUCAUAAACUGGUGCACUGUAUCUUUUAUGGCUUGCUGGUUAAGACCUCUCACGUUCCAGCUAAUGAUAUUCAAGUUGACGUCAAUCAUGAGGGGAUGAAUAUCUCAGGAGUGUUGCAUAAGCGAUUUGCGGGUGUGGGCUUCAACCAUAACCGUUGCAUAGCACAAUCAUCGCCCAGUCAAAACUAUGGCAGGAUAUUGUCUUAAAGGUUACAACCAAAUCAAAGUUCUGACCGCAGAUUGUUAUGUUAAGAGUUACAACCCAAUUGAAAGCUGAGCUAGGAUACAUGAGGCCUCCGCAGUACGCUGCCUCUAAAGAGCAAGAUAGUAGAUGAAUUUUGCAAUUCAUUUGUAACUAGAAUGAUGCACGGUAGGGACGGUGUGUGGUCAUGCCACGGCUUGCGCAGCAGCCAUCUCCACUGGAAGGUCCACCCACCAUUGCAAGCAUGGCAUCAUCCAGCUCAUCAGUGUCGUCAUUGUUGAUGUUGAAGAUCUCUGUCAGCGCCGCAAUGAUGUCCUAUGGCAGCACUCCUGUGAACAUAGCAAGGAACUCCUGCAGGGCAAUCUCCAUAGGGUCAAGUUCAUCACCUAGGAGCCCAAGUUUCCUACAUAGCUUGCGUUGCGCCCGCUGCAUUGCCGUCAUAGGACGAACCGUGGAGAGACCAAUGAUGCGACGUACCAAAGUCAUGUCGAAGACGCGAUGUUGGCGGCGACGAGCUGGAGCAAGUGUUGGUGAAGGUGCUCUUGGCUAUUCCAGUGGUUGCAGAAUCAGCUGUGCAGGUGUGGUGAAGAGGCUUGCAUGUUCUACUUCUACCGGUAGGGCUUGUUCGUCGAUGACACGCUCCGUGUUCGGCGGUGCAGUGAGCAAGCGUUCGUGCGUACCGGUGUCGCACGCCCCCUGCUCCACAAGCUGGUCCCCCUGGUGUGUGUGCUCGGGCGGCUCCAGCUGAAUAGAGAGCCUACGCAGCGUGUCACCCACCUCCUUGACCGAUGGGUAGUUUGGGAGAGGCAGGGCAGAGGUGAUUCUGGUGAUAACUCGAUGGAGAGGCACAUCCGGUUGAACGUUUGGUGUUGUUACCUCUGUGGUGUCCUUGUUGUUGCCGUUGUCGUCGAACCAGGCUUCAUCCCCGAAUAUCUCAACGAUGUUUGAUGCCUUUGUGACAUUAUGGCCCAAGGCUUAAUAGGAUUGAUAGAAUACUCAUACCAAUAAGUUGCAACUUCUUUUCCGGAAGCUCAUCCUCAAAGAACUCCGGGGUUAAGCGUGCUUGGCCCGGAGCAAUUUUGGGAUGGGUGACCGAACACACGGACGUGGCCAAGAGGGGACGUUCCUGGCUUGGGGUUGACCGACGAGGGCGGUCUUCUAAGGGGGUGAGUAUGUGACAUCCUAGCCCAAGGCUUAAUAGGAUUGAUAGAAUACUCAUACCAAUACGUUGCAACUUCUUUUCCGAAAGCUCAUCCUCAAAGAACUCCGGAGUUAAGCGUGCUUGGCCCGGAGCAAUUUCGAGAUGGGUGACCGAUCGGGAAGUUCUUCCCGGGUGCGCACGAGUGAGGACAAAGUGCGUAGAAAAGACUUGUGUUGGUCUGUGAGGGAAUUCUUGAUAUCCUAGAGAGCUGCCAGGUGUAUGCGGGCCUAGCCCCGGGGGGGCGGGACGCCACAGCCUUCCCAAGGAUGUCUAGUACCGGGUGUAGCGCAGCUGACGGGGGACGCACCCCUUGCAAGUUGAACAUCUUCUGCGCGGCUUCCGCCAUGGAGCCGACCUGAAGGUCGAAGAGGAGCUUGAAGUACAUUGCCUUGCGAUGCUUAGCACACGACGAGGCUUCUCCAUCCAUGUUCCCGCACCUGCCUCCAUGGUUGUCGGUGCCCCAUUCACGACACCGCUGCGAGUGAGAGCGUUUUCGCCGCUGCGUGUCGCGCUUGGAUCCUCUGGAGUCCCUGGAAACUCCGUGGCCACGCGUGUCACACUACCAGUCAUCAUUAUCGUUGUCGUCGUUGCCUCCCGCCAUCCCUGCUAGUUGUGGUAGUCAGGGUGGUUGUCGCCGCAUUCAUGUCGUGCACCGCCACAGCGGUCGCUAUCCCUGCGCUCAUCGCGUUGUUCCAUGCGUGGUGGAGGCGGGUGCUGGAACGGUGGGAAGGCUGGCACCAGCUCCAGGUCACCGUCCUUGACUCCCCAGUACCAGGGUAGCCGCUACUUCUCCAGCUCUCCAACCAGCACGUCUGGAUCGUGCGGGUCCGCGGUGACCGUGGAGUAGUUGUGGAUUUCCCACAAAUGGAUGAGGACACGGUGCUUUAUCCUGCGUUGCCAACGCUCGGGCGGGACUUCCUUGAUCUGCACAGAGGAGGACGAGCCAUCCAUGGAGCGGGUUGUGAAGAUAAGCCACAUCACCUUUGUGAUCUUGCUUGGGUCGACCGUCCAUGCCCAUAGCUCAAUGCCGCGCGUGUCCAUCGGAUGAAGGAGAUUGGUGUCGAUGCAUUGCACUGCGCAGUUCCGGCCGAUGAACCGCUCAAUGAUGUCCAGUAGCCAGGCAUGCGUCGGCACCCCAUCAAGGUAGACGCGGACACGGUAGAAUAAGGCCGCGCCGAGAGCUCCGGUGAGACUACGCCAUGGCCUGAUGUAGACUUUGUUGCCAUGGUCCUUGAUGGAGCCCUUAGCGUUGACCUCUUCACAGUGCUGCCGGAACUGGAAGCGAAUCAGGAACCCCUCCGGGUGGUGCCUGGUUAUGGUGACCUCGCUAGGGCGAAGCCGAAACUCAGCUAGGAUGGUCCUUAAUGUUCCUCACAGUGGUGCUCGGCGGAAUGCGCAUGGCUCAAGUGACCAGGGCGUUUCCCUCCCAAUUGCGUAGCUCGCGGUCGAUCUCGAAGGAGGUGGGGAUGUGGAGGGUGUCCUCAUUGGGCCGCAGGGUAGGGUCGCCGACUCGGAUUGUCACCAUCUUGUCGGUGGAAGCCGCUGGCCGCAGCUCCCAUCGAUGUUGCCGGUGUCGCGGUGGACGGGCAGCCUGCAGACAUAGAUCAGAGCGGCAUCCCGCUGCUUGUGCCCCAAGCAGAGGCAGCGCAGGCACCGGAUGGGGUCGCUGCACGCGUUGGCUCUAUGGUCGCGGCCAAGGCACCUAAAGCAGCGGCCUUGGGUCUUCUGCCAGAAAGCAGCGCGGGCAGCAGUGUUGGAGUGGUGUUGAAUGGUGUCGUGGUGUCGGUUGUUGAGGAGCGCCUUGAAUGCCAAUCGUCCUGGGCGUGGUUGAUGACAGCGGGCUGAAGCCGCCGUGUCCGUCCCUGUCGCUAACGCCAACUUAUGUGGGUCCACCCUCGCUCUGGCUCAGACUUGGAUUCGAAGCGAAUCUCGUGCGGGGGGCGCUGUUGCUCGAGGCUUGAAGGAGCGGAAUGGCGCAAGGGGCCAUUACUCCUUGAGGUGACUGGUGGGGGAUGGCGAGGCGUGGAGUUAGACACGGAUCCGGAGCGGAUCUCGCGCGGGGGGCGCCGCUGCUCAGGGCUCGAAGGAGCAUGGUGGCGCAGAGGGUCAUUACUCCUAGAGAUGACGCCUGGAGGACGGCGAGGCAUGGCUUGGCCAGGGUAGUAAGUGCUCCUCGGAGGUAUGGUAAUGGUGGAUCUGAGGUAGCAUGGUCUUGGUUGUUGGGGGUGAGCUAGCGACUUGAAGGCGGACACCCCUCUCCAUACCACCUCCGUGAAGGAUGGGAGCUCGUGCUCCGGCGUGUCGAGGACGACAAGGUCAUCCCACGAACCGGUGCGGCGGGGGCGUGGCGGCGGAGGAGGGGUCUCUCUCCAGAACAGAGCUGGAUCUGGGGAACACAAAGGGGGUGGGACGGUGGAGGCGGUGGAGCGUGGAGGGGAUGGGGCGGCGGAGGCGGGAGGGAUCCACAAGGGCGUGCGGAUGCGCGUAGGCUAGCAGCGGAGGAGCUUGGGCAGUGCCGCCGGGGUUGGCGACGCCGACGAUAGGGGGUGGAGCGGCGCGUUGGGGGAGUGGGGAGGCAUAGCUACCCAGUCAUACAUCAACAUAAAUGAUUGGUGAUGGCCUGAUGCGGUUCAAAAAUGCAAACCUACAGUGUUGCAGAGCGCCUACCAACUACGCCCAAUGCCAUAUUUCUCAAUGUGGUUUUUGAUCAAGUUAUCCUCUUCCUUACCCCUUCCUCUUCUUCAUCAUCUGCCCCCUUUUUAGUUUUUGUACUAAAUAAACUCUCUCUCUCUCUCUCUUGGACUAGGUAAUGGCCGUGCUUGUGACGUGAUGGGCAGCAACAAUUAUUGACCCAACAAUCAAUAAACAACUCACAACUAAAAUUACGUGCAGAAGAUUUCAUACCCGUGUGAAUUCAAAUCAAUAAUUUCGGAUUUUAUUCUCUUGAUAUGAAUGUGUGUUAAUUUUUCUUAAAAAAAUAACAUCGCUAAGGGUCGCAUAAAGCUAAGAAGAGUUAAACUUACCAGUAAUAAAUUUGAAGUUCACGUGACAUUUCAUCAAGGCCCAGUAGCAUGCCCACGUGAUCAUCCUAUUUGACCUUGAAAUUGAUAGCCAUACAAUUAUUAGACAACCUUCUUAAUCGUGUACCUCUAAUUCUUUAUCUCUAUUCCGGAUAUUGAACAUCCUCUUUGUAUGUGGUAUUCUUGAUCUAUGCACACCCAAGGCCGGGUGCGAAUUAGGCCUUAUUUGCUAACCUACGUGGUUGAUUGAAUUUAGAGCUUCACUGCUAAGUAGACCUUGUUUGGAUCCCUCUCGCUAAAUUUAGCCACUUUGAAAACAAACAUAACCAUCCUAAACUUUAGCUCCCCACCUACCUCGGGAAAUCCAGAGAUGUUCCCCUCCUGCUCCCCCGCGCUCCCGCCUCUCCCUGCGCGCCGUCAGCCUCUGCGCUCCCUUUCCCUCCGGCGCCGCCUCCCCGCGUCGCGCCCCUCAGCGGCGGCGGCCCCAACCCUUGGCAUCCUGCGACCUUAAGAUCGACCUCGACCCUGCAUCCUGGGCGCUGUGGGGCCACCCUCGUGCUCCUUUGCUCAGCCUCCGCCUGUUGCAUCUGCAUGUACAUCCUUUGCCUGUUGCAACCUAGAUCUCUACAUCGGUAGCUACGGGAAUAAUAGGGAGAGAGGCAGUGGAUAAAAGCCACGGAAGGAUAGAGAUGAGGAUAAGAGGAGUUGAGUUGUUUUGUUUAUUCACAUGUCAUACAUGGGCACCUUCAUUUUGUUGAUCAAGAUGUCAGUGGCUAUGGCCACUAACUGAGAGCAACAAUAUUGAUGAGCUAGUUGAGAUUUUAUCCACAAAAGGUAGUAUGGUAACAAGUAGCAUUUAGUGGAUCUAAACACCUCCAACUAAAAUUUAGCUAUUUCUAAACUUUCCAGCUAAAAUUUAGAUGGGCGAAUCCAAACAGGUAUUACCGAGGGAUCAAAUGGUACAGGGAAUUUUAUUUUAGGGAUAAUUGCUUAUGUAUCCUAAUUUUAACCUCUAACUACAGGUUUGCCCUCCUUUUCUAACUUUGCAAAUUUACCCCUAUUUUCUCUUCGGUUUAUCCAAACAAGGGGAGAUAACUUAGGGCCUGUUUGGGAGCACUCCACUCUAGAAAAACCAGCUCCACUCUACCAACUCCACACUUUCCUAGCUCCACUCUACCAACUCCAAAAAAAUAUGGAGCUGCUGCACGUGUUUGGCUGAUGGCAGUGCUCCAGCUCUAAAAUAUGAGCACUUGUUGUGAAUGGUCUAUUUUACCCUUUGUGAAUGGACUCACAUGGCAUACUCUUCUAUUUUCUCCUCUCUUCUUCCUCUCUCUCCUCUCCUCUUCUCUUCUCAGUUUUAAACAGUGCUACAUGUUCGGCCGUUGGUUGGGGUCUUCCUGGCCGUCAUCGCCAGAGGUGCCAUCGGGGUUCUCGCUGCAUGACUUGCUCUCAAACUCAUCUGCCAGUGUGUCGGAGCGGCCAUGGAUGAUGUUGUCGCCACUGUCCACUGCACCAGCUGGGAUCUGAUCAAAGAGUUGCUACUGGAACGCUUGCUGCAGGUGAUGGCUGUCUAGCGGGCGGCGGGUAAGCGGCGCGGCGGGCGGUGCGCGGGUAGGACGGGGCGACGGGAGUUUUUUUCACAAACCGGUACUGUGUAACGAAUGGUAAUGGUGGGUAAAUACCCACCAACUUCACGAGGAGGUCUGUACAUGGGGUUUUUGAGCACCUCUUGAGGUACUCCACAAAAAAUGUGGAUCUACCCCCUGCUCCACCUUUUUCCUGGAGCCAGAGUUGCUGGAGCUAGACGCGUUUGGCUGCGAAAUUUUCGAAGUUGGUGGAGUGAAGCAAUUUUUUGUGGAGUGGAGUGCUCCCAAAAACCCCUUAAUCAUGGGACCCACGUACUCUAAAAAAUCAAGGGACCCACGUAACCCAAAUCAAACCCAACAAAUAGCCAAACAUGGGAUACGGAUACAAACCUCAUGACCCUAUCCCAUUUUUUCUUCAACAUAUCACACCUUAUUUCGCUUUUCCACGAUGCAUCCAAACGUCACCCAAGGGAAAGAGCGAGGAGCUGAUGGUCUGGUGUGAAAGGAUAAGGUGGGGGAGUUAAAUAAAAAAAAGAAAACAGCCCAUCCGUUCUUAUCCUCCGCCCAUGAAUCCAGACGAGCGGUGGCCGUGCAGUGGGCUCCUGUGCAGCUCCUGCAGAAGCCACCAAGCCCCCACGGGCGUUGGGCCUCCGGCCAGGCGGCCACCAUGCGCGGUGGCGGCCGCUCUGCCCCCCACGGGCGGCUGCUCCGACCCCACGCGAAGCCGCACCGACGACCACUCCGCCUCCGCUCCCUCCCGCCCAGCUGUGUUGGCUCCGGCCAUCACGCGCGACGGCGCCGGCCACUCAGCGGCUCGAGGGAUAUGGGUACCUCAUGGGAUCCCUACCGGACCAUGAUACUGACCGAUCCUAACAAGUGGGCCCGCCCGACCAGAAUGUGCGGGUUAAGGAUAUGAAGAUACUUGGAGUACAUGUCAAGGAGGCCAAGCGAUUUAAAUCAGCCCGGAUAUUGCGGGAUACGUAUUGUAACCUAACUCAGAUCACCUUCCAUGUAACUACCAAGUAAAUUAGAUUGAACCCGACUGGUAACCCUAGGUCGUCUGCCUAUAUAAGGCGGCCAAGUGAGCCUCUCGAGGGCAACCCAACAACAUCGACUCUCAAGCAAUACAAACCAUCAGCAUACAGGACGUAGAUUAUUAGUCUCCAGAGGUCCGAAUCUGUCUAAAACCCUCAUGUCCCUCGUGUUCUUGCAAUCACCUUCGAGUUCUUGGUUUUGCAAUCCCCUCCACCUACAAAUCAACCACUUGGGUAACCUCCUGAUGGACUGCCUUUUAUAUUUUUAUUGCUCUGUCCUGUAUUAUAUCCAACGAUUCCUUAUUUUUAGGAAGAGAAAAUAGAAAGAGGUGUCGGUGUUUUAUGCCCGACAACCUACCAAGGAAUAUCCCGAGGUAGUAGAUUAGUUGGUGGGGAAUCGUCGGGCCUGGAACUCGAAGGUAAAAGCGAGGACACAAGAUACAUAUUUAUAUAGGUCGCCAGAGUAGUGUAAUACCUUACAUCUUAUUUGGGGUGUUGUAUAUUGUACCAUGCGCUUAGGUGUUGUUUGGUGUUGAGGAUUUGGUCCUCUAUUGUGGUUGUAUGAGGUCUUAACUUACCAAUCUAGGAACCCCUUUAGUCGGUUAUAAGCUCUUUAGUCGGUUAUAAGGAUGACCCCUUUAGUCGGUUAUAAGCCCUUUAGUCGGCUUUAGUCGGUUAUAAGCCCUUUAGUCGGUUAUAAGGAUGAUCCCUUUAGUCGGUUAUAAGGAUGAGUUCCAGUAGUUCUAUUAGAAUUACAGUUCCUUGCAGUUCGUUGCGAGGUAGAGGUAAUGGGAUCUAUCCCGACAAGAGGUGAAAUGAAGGGGAAGGGUAGAAGGAAUGAAAUUUCAGCUCUGACAUCCUGACGAAACAUUCCUGACAGUAGGGCCUUAUGGGUAUGGCCCAUCCCAACACUUUAGACCAUCUGAGCCAUUAAAAGCGUCCACCAGAUAAAGCAAUUUACGCAGCCCAAAACUCCUGGAGUUCUCGGCCCGGCCCAGGAAUCCCGUCGGCUUCGUUUUCGCAGGCGUUUCCCGUCUGGCCGUCCGUCCAACAGAUAGCUACUCUGCCGAUGGCUUCCUCCUCAGACGCGGUGAUGGCUGGGGCAUUCAGCCAGCGGUUCUGCGCAGCAACCGCGCGCGGAGUGGUAUCUUCAUGACGGUGGUGAACUCGCGCGUCUCGGUCAAGUCCACCUCCUCGCCGGGCACCCCCUUCCACUCGAAUUCCCUGACCAAGUUGGCCACGAAGUACUCCAAGUGAAGCAUGGCGAUGCCGAGCCCGGCGCAGAUCCGCCGCCCGACGCCGAACGGCAUCAUCUUGAUCUCCCUGCUGCCCGUCACGUCCACGCCCUCGCCGUCGCCACCGGGCAGGAACCGCUCCGGCACGAACUCUCUGGGCCUGUCCCACUCCCGCUCGUCCCAGCCCAUCUCCGCCACCGUGAAGUUCACCGUCGCGCCCUUGGGGAUUAGGUACCCGCCGACCUCGAUGUCCUCCGCCGCCUUGUGCGCCAGCAGGAAGUGCGCCGGAGGGUGCCGGCGCAGGCCCUCGAGGACGACGGCCUUGAGGUACGGCAUCCUGUGCGUGUCCUCCUCGCCAACCUCCUCUUGCUCGCCGCCGCACGCCGCCUUGAUCUCGCCGUAGAGCUUCUCCUGGACGGCCGGGUUCUUGACGAGCUCCGCCAUGAUCCACUGCAGCGCCGUGGACGUCGUGUCGGUCCCGGCGGUGAGGAACUCGGAGCAGAGGUUCGCCAUCUCUUCGUCGGUCAGCGCGCGGUUCCCCUCGUCGGCGAGCCUGAGGUCGAGCAGCGUGUCCACGUACGAGUGCUCGAACGUCUCCUUCUCCGGCGCCGCCGCGGCGGCCCCGCCGCCAACUGGGCUGUCCAGCUGCUUCUUGCGCUCCCGGCGCGCCUCGAUGAGUGGCACGAAGAGCUCCUUCUGGCGCCGCCGCGCAUCGAGCCCCUUCUGGAGGCGGCCGCGUAAGAGAAUCCUGGUCAGCGCCGGCCAGAACGCGAGCACGGUGGCAUUCUGGCCCACGAACAUGAGCCAGGCCUGCUGCGCGGCGGCGAUGUCGCGCACCGCCGGCUCGUCCAGCCGCUCGCCGAAGCACAUGAGCACCAGGAGGCAGAACAUGGCGUACCGGAAAGUCUCCAUCACGGGGGCCGGCGCCCGCGCCUGGGCCCUGGCCUCCUCGGCCUCCCGCCCGAGCAUCUCCGCGAGCACGCGGCGCACCCAGGCGCGGGCCGGCCCGAACAGCUUCACCCGCGACGGGUGCAGCGUCUCGGCGACGAGGUUCCGGCGGAGGAGGCGCCACACGGGCCCGUAGCUAGAGCGCGAGAUGGUGUUGCCGUUCUCCCCCAGGAGCCCGCGCGUGACCGCGGGGCGGUCGGCGAGCGCGGCGCCGCUCCCGACCAGGGCGGCGUGCGCGACGCGGCGGUCGGAGAUGAAGAUCGACAGGGUGGAGCCCACGCGCAGGGACACAACGGGGCCGUACCGCGCGACGAGGCGCCGGAGCAGGGCCUCCACGUCGGACGAGGAGCGCCUCAGCAGGAGCAGGUUGCCGAGGAACGGCAGGCCCGGUGGGCCCGGCGGGACGCGGGCGCCGCUCUUGCCCCCG
rnacentral:lncRNA from 1 species